GACAGAGGUGCCGAGCGUUAGGCGGAAUCACUGGGCUUAAAGCGUGUGUAGGCGGAUCGUUAAGUACCUUGUGAAAUCCCACGGCUUAACCGUGGAACUGCUUGGUAUACUGGCGGUCUUGAGCCACCUAGGGGCAACCGGAACAAAUGGUGGAGCGGUGAAAUGCGUAGAUAUCAUUUGGAACGCCAAUGGUGAAAACAGGUUGCUGGGGGUGUGCUGACGCUGAGACACGAAAGCCAGGGGAGCGAACGGG
rnacentral:rRNA from 1 species